CAGAAAGUAGUUUAUGAAAAAUAUUAGUUUUGGGGAUUAAUGAUAGGGUUAGCUCCUUCUUUCUGA
rnacentral:tRNA from 1 species